GAUGAAGAACGUAGCGAAAUGCGAUAAGUAAUGUGAAUUGCAGAAUUCAGUGAAUCAUCGAGUCUUUGAACGCACAUUGCGCCCCCUGGUAUUCCGGGGGGCAUGCCUGUCCGAGCGUCAUUGCUGCCCUCAAGCACGGCUUGUGUGUUGGGCCCCCGUCCCCGGUUUCCCCCGGGGACGGGCCCGAAAGGCAGCGGCGGCACCGCGUCCGGUCCUCGAGCGUAUGGGGCUUUGUCACCCGCUCUGUAGGCCCAGCCGGCGCCAGCCGACACCCAACUUUAUUUCUAAGGUUGACCUCGGAUCAGGUAGGGAUACCCGCUGAACUUAAGCAUAUCAAUAAGCGGAGGA
rnacentral:misc_RNA from 1 species